rnacentral:rRNA from 1 species
AAUGAACGUUGGCGGCAGGCUUAACACAUGCAAGUCGAACGCCCCGCAAGGGGAGUGGCAAACGGGUGCGUAACACGUGGGAAUCUACCUUGUAGUUCGGGACAACAGCGGGAAACUGCUGCUAAUACCGGAUACGGUCUACGGACGAAAGAUUUAUCGCUACAAGAUGAGCCCGCGGCUGAUUAGCUAGUUGGUGAGGUAAUGGCUCACCAAGGCAACGAUCAGUAGCUGGUCUGAAAGGACGAUCAGCCACACUGGAACUGCGACACGGUCCAGACUCCUACGGGAGGCAGCAGUGGGGAAUAUUGGACAAUGGAGGAAACUCUGAUCCAGCCAUGCCGCGUGAGUGAUGAAGGCCUUCGGGUUGUAAAGCUCUUUAGACAGGGACAAUAAUGAUGGUACCUGUAGAAUAAGCCCCGGCUAACUCUGUGCCAGCAGCCGCCGCGGUAA